rnacentral:rRNA from 1 species
CCAAGGAGUUUAGCGUGUGCGCGAGUCAUUGAGUGGCAAAACUCAAAGGCGAAAUGAAAGUGAAGGGAACUUUACGUUUCUGAGGGAAGAUGAGACGGUUUCUUCUCCAAGAGCCUCUCCGCACUCCCGGGGCGUCUCUAUCUCAUUGCGAGAGGAGGCGCACCUAUAGCGUACACGCUGAUACCCGAAAGAUGGUGAACUAUGCCUGGCCAGGACGAAGCCAGGGGAAACCCUGGUGGAGGUCCGCAGCGAUUCUGACGUGCAAAUCGAUCGUCGGAGCUGGGUUUAGGGGCGAAAGACCAAUCGAA